AGCAUAAUUAUUAGUUUUUUAAUUGAAAGCUUGUAUGAAGGGUUGGACGAGAUAAAAUCUGUCUUUAUUUAAAUUAUUAUAGAAUUUAACUUUUAAGUCAAAAGGCUUAAAUGUAUGUAAAAGACGAGAAGACCCUAUAGAUCUUUAUUUAACUAAUAUUUUGAUAAUUUAGGAUUAUUUUAGUUUAAAGUUUUAGUUAAAUUUUAUUGGGGUAAUAUAAAGAUUAAAUAAAUUCUUUUUAUUUAUUACAUUGAUUUAUGAAUAUAUGAUCCGAUAUUAUUGAUUAUAAGAUUAAGUUACCUUAGGGAUAACAGCGUAAUUUUUUUGGAGAGCUCAUAUCGAUAAAAAAGUUUGCGACCUCGAUGUUGGAUUAAAAAUUAGCUUGGGUGCAGAAGCUCAAGAUUUUGGUCUGUUCGACCAUUAAAUUUUUACAUGAUCUGAGUUCAGACCGGCGUAAGCCAGGUCGGUUUCUAUCUUUACUUAUCUAAAAUAUUUUAGUACGAAAGGACCAAAUAUUUAAUAUAAUUAUAUUUAUUUUUUGAAUAAUAUU
rnacentral:rRNA from 1 species